rnacentral:tRNA from 1 species
GGAGGAGUGCCAGAGCGGUUGAAUGGGGCGGUCUCGAAAACCGUUAGACUCGCAAGAGUCUCGAAGGUUCGAAUCCUUCCUCCUCCGCCA